GGAGGUGCCCACCCGAUCGCCGGUUCCGUUGAGGAACGGGAGGAAAGUCCGGGCUCCGCAGGGCAGGGUGCUGGGUAACGCCCAGUCUCGGUGACGAGCAGGACAGUGCCACAGAAAGCAAACCGCCGAGCACUCCCUUGGGGGUCGCUUCGCCCCGUGACGGCGCGACGGCGAAGGGAGUGCUCGGUAAGGGUGAAACGGUGAGGUAAGAGCUCACCAGUCCCGGUGGUGACACCGGGAGCUCGGCAAACCCCACCCGGAGCAAGGCCAAGUAGGGGAGCGUUUGAGGGUGGCCCGCCCGAAGCUCCCGGGUCGGCUGCUUGAGCCUCUCGGCAACGGGGGGCCUAGAGGAAUGAUCGGGACCUCCCUUUUCGGGGAGGCACAGAACCCGGCUUAUGGGCACCUCCACAU
rnacentral:RNase_P_RNA from 1 species